rnacentral:rRNA from 1 species
CAAUGGCAUAAGCCAGCUUGACUGCGAGCGUGACGGCGCGAGCAGGUGCGAAAGCAGGUCAUAGUGAUCCGGUGGUUCUGAAUGGAAGGGCCAUCGCUCAACGGAUAAAAGGUACUCCGGGGAUAACAGGCUGAUACCGCCCAAGAGUUCAUAUCGACGGCGGUGUUUGGCACCUCGAUGUCGGCUCAUCACAUCCUGGGGCUGAAGUAGGUCCCAAGGGUAUGGCUGUUCGCCAUUUAAAGUGGUACGCGAGCUGGGUUUAGAACGUCGUGAGACAGUUCGGUCCCUAUCUGCCGUGGGCGCUGGAGAACUGAGGGGGGCUGCUCCUAGUACGAGAGGACCGGAGUGGACGCAUCACUGGUGUUCGGGUUGUCAUGCCAAUGGCACUGCCCGGUAGCUAAAUGCGGAAGAGAUAAGUGCUGAAAGCAUCUAAGCACGAAACUUGCC